GAUGAACGCUGGCGGCGUGCCUAAUACAUGCAAGUCGAACGAGUUCUCGUUGAUGAUCGGUGCUUGCACCGAGAUUCAACAUGGAACGAGUGGCGGACGGGUGAGUAACACGUGGGUAACCUGCCCUUAAGUGGGGGAUAACAUUUGGAAACAGAUGCUAAUACCGCAUAGAUCCAAGAACCGCAUGGUUCUUGGCUGAAAGAUGGCGUAAGCUAUCGCUUUUGGAUGGACCCGCGGCGUAUUAGCUAGUUGGUGAGGUAAUGGCUCACCAAGGCGAUGAUACGUAGCCGAACUGAGAGGUUGAUCGGCCACAUUGGGACUGAGACACGGCCCAAACUCCUACGGGAGGCAGCAGUAGGGAAUCUUCCACAAUGGACGCAAGUCUGAUGGAGCAACGCCGCGUGAGUGAAGAAGGCUUUCGGGUCGUAAAACUCUGUUGUUGGAGAAGAAUGGUCGGCAGAGUAACUGU
rnacentral:rRNA from 2 species